CCUACGGGGGGCAGCAGUGAGGAAUAUUGGUCAAUGGCCGGAAGGCUGAACCAGCCAUGCCGCGUGAAGGUCAGUGCCCUAUGGGCGUUAAACUUCUUUUGUGCGGGAGCAAUAAUGGUCACGUGUGGCCAGACGAGAGUACCGUACGAAUAAGCAUCGGCUAACUCCGUGCCAGCAGCCGCGGUAAUACGGGGGAUGCAAGCGUUAUCCGGAUUUAUUGGGUUUAAAGGGUGCGUAGGCUGUGAGGUAAGUCAGCGGUGAAAUGCCCCCGCUCAACGGGGUGAAGUGCCAUUGAUACUGCCUGGCUGGAAUGCGGAUGCCGUGGGAGGAAUGUGUGGUGUAGCGGUGAAAUGCAUAGAUAUCAGACAGAACACCGAUUGCGAAGGCAUCUCACGAAUCCGCGAUUGACGCUGAUGCACGAAAGCGUGGGUAUCAAACAGGAUUAGAUACCCUUGUAGUC
rnacentral:rRNA from 1 species